rnacentral:rRNA from 1 species
UUUAUGGAGAGUUUGAUCCUGGCUCAGAGUGAACGCUGGCGGCGUGCCUAAUACAUGCAAGUCGAACGAUGAAGCUUCUAGCUUGCUAGAAUGCUGAUUAGUGGCGCACGGGUGAGUAACGCAUAGGUCAUGUGCCUCUUAGUUUGGGAUAGCCAUUGGAAACGAUGAUUAAUACCAGAUACUCCCUACGGGGGAAAGAUUUAUCGCUAAGAGAUCAGCCUAUGUCCUAUCAGCUUGUUGGUAAGGUAAUGGCUUACCAAGGCUAUGACGGGUAUCCGGCCUGAGAGGGUGAACGGACACACUGGAACUGAGACACGGUCCAGACUCCUACGGGAGGCAGCAGUAGGGAAUAUUGCUCAAUGGGGGAAACCCUGAAGCAGCAACGCCGCGUGGAGGAUGAAGGUUUUAGGAUUGUAAACUCCUUUUGUUAGAGAAGAUAAUGACGGUAUCUAACGAAUAAGCACCGGCUAACUCCGUGCCAGCAGCCGCGGUAAUACGGAGGGUGCAAGCGUUACUCGGAAUCACUGGGCGUAAAGAGCGCGUAGGCGGGAUAGUCAGUCAGGUGUGAAAUCCUAUGGCUUAACCAUAGAACUGCAUUUGAAACUACUAUUCUAGAGUGUGGGAGAGGUAGGUGGAAUUCUUGGUGUAGGGGUAAAAUCCGUAGAGAUCAAGAGGAAUACUCAUUGCGAAGGCGACCUGCUAGAACAUUACUGACGCUGAUUGCGCGAAAGCGUGGGGAGCAAACAGGAUUAGAUACCCUGGUAGUCCACGCCCUAAACGAUGGAUGCUAGUUGUUGGAGGGCUUAGUCUCUCCAGUAAUGCAGCUAACGCAUUAAGCAUCCCGCCUGGGGAGUACGGUCGCAAGAUUAAAACUCAAAGGAAUAGACGGGGACCCGCACAAGCGGUGGAGCAUGUGGUUUAAUUCGAGGAUACACGAAGAACCUUACCUAGGCUUGACAUUGAGAGAAUCCGCUAGAAAUAGUGGAGUGUCUGGCUUGCCAGACCUUGAAAACAGGUGCUGCACGGCUGUCGUCAGCUCGUGUCGUGAGAUGUUGGGUUAAGUCCCGCAACGAGCGCAACCCCCUUUCUUAGUUGCUAACAGGUCAUGCUGAGAACUCUAAGGAUACUGCCUCCGUAAGGAGGAGGAAGGUGGGGACGACGUCAAGUCAUCAUGGCCCUUACGCCUAGGGCUACACACGUGCUACAAUGGGGUGCACAAAGAGAAGCAAUACUGCGAAGUGGAGCCAAUCUUCAAAACGCCUCUCAGUUCGGAUUGCAGGCUGCAACUCGCCUGCAUGAAGCUGGAAUCGCUAGUAAUCGCAAAUCAGCCAUGUUGCGGUGAAUACGUUCCCGGGUCUUGUACUCACCGCCCGUCACACCAUGGGAGUUGUGUUUGCCUUAAGUCAGGAUGCUAAAUUAGCUACUGCCCACGGCACACACAGCGACUGGGGUGAAGUCGUAACAAGGUAACCGUAGGUGAACCUGCGGUUGGAUCACCUCCUUUCUAGA